rnacentral:rRNA from 1 species
UACGUAGGGCGCAAGCGUUAUCCGGAAUUAUUGGGCGUAAAGGAUGCGUAGAUGGUGUAGUAAGUUAUCGGUGGCAAAUCGAGGCUCAACCUCGUGGAAGUCGGUAAUACUGCUAUGCUAGAGGAUAGGAGAGGUUAACGGAACUCCCUGUGGAGCGGUGAAAUGCGUAGAUAUAGGGAAGAACACCAAUCAGGCGAAGGCAGUUAACUAUUCUAUUCCUGACAUUGAGGCAUGAAAGCGUGGGGAGCAAAACGG